CCUACGGGUGGCAGCAGUGGGGAAUAUUGGACAAUGGGGGCAACCCUGAUCCAGCCAUGCCGCGUGUGUGAAGAAGGCCCUCGGGUUGUAAAGCACUUUCAGUGAGGAAGAACGCCUGGUGGUUAAUACCCAUCAGGAAAGACAUCACUCACAGAAGAAGCACCGGCUAACUCCGUGCCAGCAGCCGCGGUAAUACGGAGGGUGCGAGCGUUAAUCGGAAUUACUGGGCGUAAAGCGCGCGUAGGUGGCUUGAUAAGCCGGUUGUGAAAGCCCCGGGCUCAACCUGGGAACGGCAUCCGGAACUGUCAAGCUAGAGUGCAGGAGAGGAAGGUAGAAUUCCCGGUGUAGCGGUGAAAUUCGUAGAGAUCGGGAGGAAUACCAGUGGCGAAGGCGGCCUUCUGGACUGACACUGACACUGAGGUGCGAAAGCGUGGGUAGCAAACAGGAUUAGAUACCCCGGUAGUC
rnacentral:rRNA from 1 species